UUUUUUUUUCUUGAAACAUCGAGUCUGGACUCGUAUGUACCGCUCGCCGCGGCAGAAUGCCGAGCAAAUGCACAUAGCGAACGCAGCUCGGCCGGCCCAUCUCGCGGUCGCGCCAGCGACUAUGGCGAUAGCGUUUCUCUCUGUUUGGGUUUUUCUUUUUGCUUUUGCUAGUUUUCAUUCGGUUUUCCAUAAAAUAAUACAAUAGUUAUUUAAUUUAAAAAUAUGACAUUUUUAAAAAGUGAAAAGAAUCUGAACAUUUUCUAUAAAUGAGAACAUUUUUGAAAUUGUAAGCACCUUAUUGUAAGAACGCGGAAAAUUUUGAAAAUUGUAAAGAAAAAAAUGGUAAUUUUUUCUGAACUUUUUUUAGUAACGAGAUUUUUUUUUGAAAAUUCAAAGUUUUUUAUUUUUUAAAACUCAAACAUUAUUUUACAAAUGCAAACUUUUAAAAAAACAAAUGAGUUUUGCAUUUCGGAGCAUUUUUUGAAAUUGGGAAUUUUUUGAGCAUUUUAUGAAAAUCAAGAACUUUUUAAAAUCCGAACAAUUCUAAAAAGAGGACAUUUCGGAAACUUGUGAAUAUUUUAAAAUUGUUGAAAAAGAAAAAGGAAAAAGCCGGUAAAACCCGUUAUCUAUACCACUAUAUAGUUUAUGAAUAACUUCUAGUGUUAGAUGUUGGAUGAAGCCAAUCCAACGGUAGAGAUAUGGCAAGUCUGAGCAUUGUUGGCCAUUGGAUAUCCUCUUCACCCAACUAGAUACCGCCAUGUACUAUCUAGAAGAUUCCGUUGUCGAUGCACAAACUUGAAAAGAAAUAAGCACUUCUCAUUUGUUGUAUAUCUUCUAUUCUUUAAUUCUUUGAUUUUUACUUCCAAAUAAAGUGUCGCCCAUUUUCUUACUUCAAUGUACAAACUUCAAAUCAUAAACAUUUCUCAUUUUUUCUAGAAUCUUCCAUGCAUUUUGUUUCAAAAAUUACCUUUGAAUUUUACUUUAUCUGUAUAUAUUGAUUUCAAGACUAUGAUAGUGGUUUCUUAAAGUCCAUUUGUCUUUGAACAUAUCAUACUAACUACCCAAAAGUGCAAUAUGAGAUGCUUAAAAACAAACGUGUUGGCUAUAUUUCACAUGAGUUUGUGUGUGUGUGUGUGUGUUCUAUCUAGCGGUUUUUCAUUUUCUGUUUUCUCUUUAUUUAUUUUUCUUUCCUUUUCUGUCUGUUUGUUUGUAUUCUAUUUUGUUCUUUUCAAUGCAUGUUGAAUAUUCUCUCAAAACCCCCCAAAAAUGCAAGAACACUUCUAAAAACUAAUGUGAAUAUUUUUCAAACACAUGUUGUACUUUUUCCAAACAAAUAAUAAACAUCUUUAGAACACAUGGUGAACAAUUCUUGAACAUGCGGUGAAUUUUUUUAACCAAUAGUGAAGAUUAUUUAAAUUCAUGACCAUUUUUUCCAAAAAAAUUUAACAUGGCGGACAAUCAAUUAAUUAACAAACAUUUCUGAAUUUGUUAAUAUUUUAUUAACAUUUUGUAAAAUGCAUGGCAUUUAAAAAAAUCCUGAUGCACGUAUUUUUGAAAUAUGAAAGCUUGUAAAAAUGCCUGGCCAUUUUUUAGCUUCACGGAUAUUUUACAAAAAAAUAUUUUUAGAGAAACAUGGAAAAUAUAAGUGCUUUUCCAACCCAAACACGCUAAAACACUUAAACAGGAAAAAUGUUUUUUAAUGCCAAUGUAUACAUUGUAUUACGUAAGACGGGACAAAUCAUAGUUUUACUAAAAUAGAGCAGACCAUGUGCAGGUUGAAUAAAAUCAAGGAGUCACUAACGAGCGGAAAAGAAAAUAUCUAUUUUAUAUUUUCAGUAUAAUAAUAGCUGGAAAUAAAAGUGGAUGGAAAUAAGAUUUUAGAUUUUUUUAAUUGAAAGUGCAUCUAGUCCUUCGUAGUGGGUUUUGAUGACUAAUUACAAAUCAUUAAGGGAUUAGUGUAUUGAAUGAUUAUACAUGUGAUGUUUAUUUAACCUAGACGAGACGUCGAUCGCUAAAUUUGUGGAGAACAUUAAAUACAUGGUUUGUCUCCCGAAGAUUUGGUGGAGAUUUUAUAGAUUUUAGUGCAUCUGUGAGUCACUUGAGUUUUAAGAGUGAGUAUAAUAAGGUGAUGUAAGCGGGAUAUAAGGGUUUGAAUAUUAUAUUUUUGUUGAGUCGAAGGAAAGAGAAAAUAAGCAGGUAGUAGAUUAAGUGCCAAUUGUAAUAGGGAUUUCAAGAAACUUUAUGAGAGUGCAAGGUUUGCUGUGUGUUCACAAAGUAGUACUACGCCUCUCUGGGUUUAUUAGUCCUCAUCGUAUUUUUGGUCAAAGUUUGACCACAUAUUUGAUUAGCAAAAUAUUAAUGCAUGUCACAAAAAAACAUUGUUGAAUUUGAAUUUGAAGGUAGUUUUCAAUGAUAUUAUUUUUUAUAUGUAUAACUUAUAUUUUAUUAGUUAAAAUCAUGGUGGAAAUAUGAUUCAAAAUACAAGGGGACCAAUAAACCAGGACGAAGGAAGUACUUCUUGAACUUCUAUGUAUGUUGGAUAUUAGAUUGGCUAUAAAUGACAUGACAACAUUAUAUAGGUAACAACUGACUUAUAGCCAUGCUCUAAGGUAAAAAAAUGCGCAUACACGUCAAAUCUCAUAUCAAUGGUGCAAUUUACUCGUAUCUGCUUACUUUUCGAACAAGGAGAAAAUAAAAGAUGGAUUAGUAGCAUUUGGCAAGGUAGUCAUCACAUCCAAACCAACUGAAUAAUUAAUCCCAAUGUGAAGUUUACAAACAAGGGGUAGAAAAAUGUGAUAGGGCCCAAAACAUGGAGGCUAGUAGCAUUUCGGUAACAAGGCACAAUUGAUCAGUUCCAACGCGCGUGAGGAUGGAACUUUGGUCUCUGUUCUCAGAAGCAGGCGUCCAAGAGACAACAGCAGCAAAGCGCGGCUAGGCUGUUGGAACAAUAUCAUAAGAGAAUCAUGAGAUAUAAUCAAGGCGAAUUUCUCAACAAACAAAGAAAAACAAGAAAAUUAGUACUAAACAUGAUAUAAUUGCAUGUUAAUAUUAGAUAUGAUAUAAUUAAUUGGUUAAUACUGAUGUUUAUAUUAGGCAUGAUAUUAAUUAUUGAAGGGUGCUAAUUUAGUGCUAAACAUGUUUAACACUGAACACCGGAGUGACUUAGACCAUUGGAUAGAUGCGGUUGAACGCGUAUGAUUUGUUGGACCUCCAUAACUCGCUUGGAAUACAAGAUAUAUAGAAUAUAGAAAUAGACAUAGAGAAAACCAUUUAUUGCCAAAAAUUUCAAGUUCCCACUAUAGUACUCGGUAUGGGUAUGUACGACAGACGACACUGGUGCCGGCGGGCGCCGGGCGCCGUGUACAAAACACCGGAUAUUCGUCAAGUGGGGAGAGGUGGGCAUAUUCCAAGCAAUCUGUAGAGAACCAGUUAUCGUAACACCAACACAUGGUCGCAUGUGAAAUGCUGAAUUUUAUACUGGCUCGAGAACACUUGACAGCAAAUGAAUUUGGACGAUUUCCAGCUUUUGCAUCUUGUCCGUCCGCCGCCGGAGAAGAUAUCAUCAUGAAGAUCAUAUAUUUUGAUCGUCAUGAUAUCUAUGCCGAUAUCUUCUCGUUUAUGGAAGCUACGGCUCUUGAUCUCAUCAAUGAAAUCUCCGGGUAUAUAUGAAUAUCAGAUACGAAUAGGUAGGAUUCGUACGUCCCGUUUGACCGAGGUUGGUCAUCGACGCGCCCUUUGCCAUUAAUCUGCGGUUGACACGUCGUGGAGGUCUCGCCGUUUCCACGGUGCAGUAGCUCGCGCGUCAAGUCGCCGUCCCUACCCAUGGAAACGUGCGCGCAACGAAGCCUAUCUAGCUAACUCGCCGGCGGCGACCCGGGCUGAUAUGAGCCCAGUUCCUAACUCUUUGAACAACUAGUUUGGAUCGAAAUUAAGAGAGAGGAAGUGGCGUACGUACCAUCCUUGCAUGAAGGAAGGCCCGCUGUUCUGCUGCUGCUGCUGGGGCGGGUAGCCCUGUUGAGGCGGGUAGCCCUGCUGGCCGUAUCCGGCCGGCGGGUAGCCCUGCUGUGGCGGCGGGUAAACGGCCGGAGGAUACCCCUGCGGCGGGUAACCUGGAGAAUGGAAGGUCCAGGCAGCACGCAAGGUCAAUUCUGUUCAGCCGUCGGGCAAAAGGUAGAAGGAGAAGUUGAUGGAAGGAGGCUGUCAUACCUUGCUGCGGCGGGGCGCCGACGGGCGCCUGCUGCUGGCCGUAGUAGCUCAUCUCCUUCCGGCCGGGGGUUUCUACUUUCUGGUCGGUCUCUCGCGCUGGCGCUGUGCAGUGCAGUGCAGUUCUACGGCUUGUGUUGGGCCGAGUGGUUUUAUAAAACGCGCCGGGAACGUGACUGACCUGGCUGGUGGG
rnacentral:lncRNA from 1 species